rnacentral:lncRNA from 1 species
GAUUGAACCCAGCUCCUUCCACACACAGGACAAAGUCUCUGCCAUUGAGCUACAUCCCAGCCAAGACCUUUCUGACAGAGGGUAGAAGACUUUCUAAGUAAAAUCAAAUCUCUGAGAGAAAGGUAAUCCCAGUAGAAAAAUGGGCAAAGGGGUUCAACAGGCCCUUUACCACAACAAAAAUAAGAAAGCUUACAGCAUGACAAGAUACCCAAACUUACUGGUAAUUAAAGAAGAGCAAAAUGAAACUAUAAUUUUACAUCUGGCACCGAUUAAAAAGAUAAACAAGGGCAAAUGUUGAUGAAGAGGUCCAGACAGAGCAUUUCUGCAAUUUCUGUAAGUCGCUGACUGCAGACUGCCACAACCUUUUUGAAGAACAAUCAGUUACACCCCACCAUGCUAACUGUUCAUGUCAAUGAUCCUGCAAAUCCUAAGGAAAUUUGUACAUGAGAAGUCUAUACGAGGUCAUAAAUGAGGCUGCUCUUUGCAGCCUUCUUUUAGUAUCAGGAAGUAAAGGCCAACUGAUCACUGGGAAAGUGGGUACCUAAAAUGUGGUGGAUUCAUAUCCCCUGUGGUAGGCUGAAAAAUGGCCUCCAACUUUACCCUGCCCUGAUCCCAGAAACUGCAUAUGUUUUCUUUAUUUGUCAAAAGCAAUUUUGCAGUUGCAAUAGUUAAGGAUUUUGAGAUAGGAAGCCUACACCGAAUUAUCCGGGUGGGCCUGACAGAAUCACAACAGUCUUUAUAAGAGGGAGCCAGAAGAAAUCAGAGGAGAAGGAAGUGUGAUAAGGAAAACAGAAAGGGACCACAGUCAAAGAAUACAAGCAAGCUGGGUGUGGUGGCGCAUGCCUGUAAUCCCAGUGGCUUGGGAGGCUGAGGUAUGAAGAUCACAAGUUCAAAGCCAGUCUCAGCAACAGCGAGGUGCUAAGCAACUCAGUGAGACGCUGUCUCUAAAUAAAAUGCAAAAAUGAGCUAGAGAUGUGGAUUAGUGGUCAAGUGCCCUUGAGUUCAAUCUCCAGUACUCCAGCCCCCCAAAUAAAAGAAUACAAACAGCUACUGCAAGCUGAUUUUCUUCUUCUUCUAGAAGGACCAGUUUUGUUGAGACCUGAACUUAAUCUAAU